rnacentral:rRNA from 1 species
AACGAACGCUGGCGGCAGGCUUAACACAUGCAAGUCGAGCGCCCCGCAAGGGGAGCGGCAGACGGGUGAGUAACGCGUGAGAAUCUACCCAUCUCUACGGAAUAACGCAUGGAAACGUGUGCUAAUACCGUAUACGUCCUUCGGGAGAAAGAUUUAUCGGAGAUGGAUGAGCCCGCGUUGGAUUAGCUAGUUGGUGGGGUAAAGGCCUACCAAGGCGACGAUCCAUAGCUGGUCUGAGAGGAUGAUCAGCCACACUGGGACUGAGACACGGCCCAGACUCCUACGGGAGGCAGCAGUGGGGAAUAUUGGACAAUGGGCGCAAGCCUGAUCCAGCCAUGCCGCGUGAGUGAUGAAGGCCCUAGGGUUGUAGAGCUCUUUCACCGGUGAAGAUAAUGACGGUAACCGGAGAAGAAGCCCCGGCUAACUUCGUGCCAGCCGCCGCGGUAAAAC